AAACGGAUGCUAAUACCGCAUACGCCCUAAGGGGGAAAGGAGGGGAUCUAUUUAUAGACCUUUCGCUAUCAGAUGAGCCUGCGUAGGAUUAGCUAGUUGGUAGGGUAAAGGCCUACCAAGGCGACGAUCCUUAGCUGGUCUGAGAGGAUGACCAGCCACACUGGGACUGAGACACGGCCCAGACUCCUACGGGAGGCAGCAGUGGGGAAUAUUGGACAAUGGGGGCAACCCUGAUCCAGCCAUGCCGCGUGUGUGAAGAAGGCCUUCGGGUUGUAAAGCACUUUCAGUGGUGAGGAAAGGGUAACGGUUAAUAACCGUUACCUGUGACGUUAGCCACAGAAGAAGCACCGGCUAAUUCCGUGCCAGCAGCCGCGGUAAUACGGAAGGUGCGAGCGUUAAUCGGAAUAACUGGGCGUAAAGCGCGCGUAGGUGGUUGAGUCAGUCAGAUGUGAAAGCCCCGGGCUUAACCUGGGAACUGCACCUGAUACUGCUUAACUAGAGUACGGUAGAGGGCAGUGGAAUUUCCUGUGUAGCGGUGAAAUGCGUAGAUAUAGGAAGGAACACCAGUGGCGAAGGCGACUGCCUGGAUUGAUACUGACACUGAGGUGCGAAAGCGUGGGUAGCAAACAGGAUUAGAUACCCUGGUAGUCCACGCCGUAAACGAUGUCGACUAGCCGUUGGGAGACUUGCUCUCUUAGUGGCGCAGCUAACGCAAUAAGUCGACCGCCUGGGGAGUACGGCCGCAAGGUUAAAACUCAAAUGAAUUGACGGGGGCCCGCACAAGCGGUGGAGCAUGUGGUUUA
rnacentral:rRNA from 1 species